GACGAACGCUGGCGGCGCGCCUAACACAUGCAAGUCGAGCGGAGAUACUUGAAGGAAGUUUUCGGAUGGAGUUUGAGUAUUUUAGCGGCGGACGGGUGAGUAACGCGUGAGUGACCUGCCUUCCACAGGGGGAUAACGUACCGAAAGGUACACUAAUACCGCAUGAGACCACAGCACUGCCUGGUGCAGGGGUCAAAGGAGCAAUCCGGUGGAAGAUGGACUCGCGUCCGAUUAGAUAGUUGGUGGGGUAACGGCCUACCAAGUCAGCGAUCGGUAGCCGACCUGAGAGGGUGAUCGGCCACAUUGGAACUGAGAGACGGUCCAAACUCCUACGGGAGGCAGCAGUGGGGAAUAUUGGGCAAUGGGGGAAACCCUGACCCAGCGACGCCGCGUGAGGGAAGAAGGUUUUCGGAUUGUAAACCUCUGUUCUUGGUGAAGAGGGAAAGACGGUAGCCAAGGAGGAAGCCCCGGCUAACUAUGUGCCAGCAGCCGCCGUAA
rnacentral:rRNA from 1 species